rnacentral:lncRNA from 1 species
GGAUCCCUAACCCACUGUGCAGACCAGGGAUUGACCCUGCUUCCCAGGGCUCCCAAGAUGCCACUGACCCCAAUGCGCCACAGUGAGAACUCCCACAAUGCCACAGUUGAUAGAUAGAUGGUAGCGAUUCCCGGAUAGAUACAUUCAAUUGAGGAAUGUUUUUCUUUGCAUAUUAUACGUAUGUCACUAAUUGAGUGGCUACAUAUGUGUGUGUGUGUGUGUGUGUGUGUGUGUGUGUCCCUUCUCCCCACCGUCCUGUGUCCCUUUGCCCACAGAUAGGACCUCAGCUAGUUGCAGUUUGCUGCGUGGUAGAGUGACUCCACUAAUCGUUCCUGGAGCAUCAGUGGUCCUGCCCGGUCGGGUGUCGUGGCUUUUUGUUAACUUGUGUGCAUGGGAAAGGGGACCCUUGAGGAUCCCCCAGGUCCCAGACGUAGCCCUCCCUGCUCUUGGCUGUAGAGGCCUCCCAGUCAGGCAGCCACUACCUCUCCUCUUUCGUUGCCUGUGGUCUGAGGGGCACGAGAAGCCCAAACAGCCGAGUGGAGGUUUUAGCUUCAAAGGCGAUGAAAACUGUGUGGCUUUCCUUCCCCUGAGAACUCAGGUCUCCACACCAGCAGAGGCCAGCGCUGCAGGGACGUGAAGCGAAAUUUUCCUGAGUGGGUGCGGUAGCCUGAGUCAUGACCAGCCAAAGACGCCAGGUCCGCAUCUCUGGAAUUUGGAAAAUGUCACCUUAAAAGGAAAAAGGAUUUUUGCAGACGUGAUUAGGUGAAUGACCUUGACAUGGGGAGAUUCUCCUGGGCGACUGGGGCCCUAAACCCCAUUGCCAGUGUCCCUUUAAGAAACAGGCAGGAGGAGAGCUCACACACGGAAGAGGAGGAGGAACAGUGAAGACAGAAGCAGAGGUUGGAGUAAUGGGGCCGAAGGAACACCAACGGCCACCCAGCUGGAGGAGUCACGGCACAGGUUCCUCCCUAGAGUUUUAGGAGGAGUGCAGCCCUGCUGGUACCUCGAUUUAGGCUCAGUGAGGCUGAUGCGGAACUCCUGGCCUCCAGAACUCUAGGAGAAUAAAUUCUGUUCAGUCACCAAGUAUGUAGCAAUUUGUUGUGGCAACCACAGUGAACUAAUACUGGCGGCUAGGGAGAUGCCACGCCACCUACCUUCCUUUGAUUCCUGGCGCCUUAAAUGCCGGCUGUCAAUGAGGAUGCGGCGUUCCCAUUGUGUCUCAGCGGAAAUGAAUCUGAUUAGUAUCCACGAGGACACGGGUUCGAUCCCUGGCCUCACUCAGUGGGUUAAGGAUCCAGCAUUGCUGUGAGCUGUGCAAAGGAGCGACUGCUGUAAGAUGGGGCUUUAGAAAGAGGCAGGAGUCAAGGUUUAUGAGAUCCACGAAUCUUUCCAAAGAGGCAGGGCUUACCAGUGAGGACAAUGGGGAGUCAGUCCAAGAUUUAGGAGUUUCCUGGUGGCUUGGUGGGUUGGGGAUCUGGUGACAUCACUGCCGUAGCUCUGGUUGCUGCUAUGGCAGGGCUUUGACCCCUGGCCUGGGAAUUUCUGCAUGCAGCCAGCACAGCUGGGGAAAAAAAAUCUUGACCCGGGAUCAAAUCAGGGUAGACUUGCCCUUUGGAAUAUUUUCUUUGGAGGAUGGAAGACGGAUUUGAGGGAGCAAGCCUGGCCGCAGGGAGACCAGCUAGGAGAUGCUGCAGUAACCUGAGCAGGAGAUGCUGGUAACCUAGACCCGUCCCAACCCGGCGUUUCACUAAUUGAGCAAAUGCGUGUGAAGCACCUGCUGUAUGUCAGAGCCUGGCUCAGCACAACGUACAGGAGGAUCAGAUGCAGGAGACCCAGUUAUGGCCCUGAGGUCAUCCAGCCCCUGGGGAAAACAGAUGCACCAUUAUCCAAAGCACGUGCCACUCUUUAGCUGCUAAGUUUGUCUGACUCAGCAAGGAGGGUUUGCAGGUGGCUACGGGAGUCCCCAAACUGUCAACAAAUAUGGCCUUGAUAGCAGGUAUGAUUUUAGCUUGGUGUGUCACUUAUCUAUUGCCACGUGACAGCUCACCCGACACCUUAGCAGCGUAAAACAACAGCGGUUUUACUUUGUCUUAAUUCUGCGGGUCAGCAGUUUGGGCUGCUCUCAAAUUCUGAGCGGUUCUGCUGCUCUCACCUGGAAUCGCUGAUGUGGUUGCACUCCUCCGGCCUCUUGGCUGGGACUGGUUCUGCUGAGGUGACCUCACCCACGUGUCGGGUUUGGUGCUGGCUGUCAUGCAUGGGCAGGAUGGCCCGUCUCUGCUCUGUGGGGCUUUUCACCCUCCAGAAGGUUUGACUGGGCUUCUUCACACGGCAAGGGGGCCAGAGCAGACGUGAUGUGGCCUCUUGAGGCCCUGGCUUGGAAGCUGUACCGAGCAGCCUGGGGCUGCCAUGCAGCAAGGGCUCAGCUCACCGGGAUCUGGGGGGCUCGGCUUCUGUUAUAGUUCUUACAGUCUUGCAAACCAAAGACAACCAUGCAGCGUCUUUCCCAACAUUAGCACUUGUCUCUCCUCUGCCGUCAUCCCAGCCCCUGCACAAGGC